rnacentral:rRNA from 1 species
AUUGAACGCUGGCGGCAUGCCUUACACAUGCAAGUCGAACGGCAGCACGGGAGCAAUCCUGGUGGCGAGUGGCGAACGGGUGAGUAAUAUAUCGGAACGUGCCCAGUCGUGGGGGAUAACGUAGCGAAAGCUGCGCUAAUACCGCAUACGAUCUGUGGAUGAAAGCGGGGGAUCGUAAGACCGCGCGCGAUUGGAGCGGCCGAUAUCAGAUUAGGUAGUUGGUGGGGUAAAGGCUCACAAAGCCGACGAUCUGUAGCUGGUCUGAGAGGACGACCAGCCACACUGGGACUGAGACACGGCCCAGACUCCUACGGGAGGCAGCAGUGGGGAACUUUGGACAAUGGGCGCAAGCCUGAUCCAGCAAUGCCGCGUGCAGGAUGAAGGCCUUCGGGUUGUAAACUGCUUUUGUACGGAGCGAAAAGGCUUCCACUAAUACUGGGGGCUCAUGACGGUACCGUAAGAAUAAGCACCGGCUAACUACGUGCCAGCAGCCGCCGCCGUAA